UGGCUCAGACGGUAAAGCGUCUGCCUGAAGUGCAGGAGACCCGGGUUCCAUCCCUGG
rnacentral:tRNA from 1 species